UCGGCGGGGAAGAAAUCGCAUCUCCUAAUACGGGGUGUGGAUGACGGUACCCGAAUAAGAAGCACCGGCUAACUACGUGCCAGCAGCCGCGGUAAUACGUAGGGUGCGAGCGUUAAUCGGAAUUACUGGGCGUAAAGCGUGCGCAGGCGGCUUUGUAAGACAGAUGUGAAAUCCCCGGGCUCAACCUGGGAGCUGCAUUUGUGACUGCAAGGCUAGAGUAUGGCAGAGGGGGGUGGAAUUCCACGUGUAGCAGUGAAAUGCGUAGAGAUGUGGAGGAGCACCGAUGGCGAAGGCAGCCCCCUGGGCCAAUACUGACGCUCAUGCACGAAAGCGUGGGGAGCAAACAGGAUUAGAUACCCUGGUAGUCCACGCCCUAAACGAUGUCAACUAGGUGUUGGUGGGGUUAAACCCAUUAGUACCGUAGCUAACGCGUGAAGUUGACCGCUGGGGAGUACGGCCGCAAGGUUAAAACUCAAAGGAAUUGACGGGGACCCGCACAAGCGGUGGAUGAUGUGGAUUAAUUCGAUGCAACGCGAAAAACCUUACCUACCCUUGACAUGUCCAGAAGCCUGAAGAGAUUUGGGUGUGCUCGAAAGAGAACUGGAACACAGGUGCUGCAUGGCUGUCGUCAGCUCGUGUCGUGAGAUGUUGGGUUAAGUCCCGCAACGAGCGCAACCCUUGUCAUUAGUUGCCAUCAUUUAGUUGGGCACUCUAAUGAGACUGCCGGUGACAAACCGGAGGAAGGUGGGGAUGACGUCAAGUCCUCAUGGCCCUUAUGGGUAGGGCUUCACACGUCAUACAAUGGUCGGUACAGAGGGUUGCCAAGCCGCGAGGUGGAGCCAAUCCCAGAAAGCCGAUCGUAGUCCGGAUCGUAGUCUGCAACUCGACUACGUGAAGUCGGAAUCGCUAGUAAUCGCGGAUCAGCAUGUCGCGGUGAAUACGUUCCCGGGUCUUGUACACACCGCCCGUCACACCAUGGGAGUGGGUUCUACCAGAAGUAGUUAGCCUAACCGCAAGGAGGGCGAUUACCACGGUAGGGUUCAUGACUGGGGUGAAGUCGUAACAAGGUAGCC
rnacentral:rRNA from 1 species